rnacentral:rRNA from 1 species
GAGUUUGAUCCUGGCUCAGGAUGAACGCUGGCGGCGUGCUUAACACAUGCAAGUCGAGCGAUGAAGUUUCCUUCGGGAAACGGAUUAGCGGCGGACGGGUGAGUAACACGUGGGUAACCUGCCUCAUAGAGUGGAAUAGCCUUCCGAAAGGAAGAUUAAUACCGCAUAACGUUGAAAGAUGGCAUCAUCAUUUAACCAAAGGAGCAAUCCGCUAUGAGAUGGACCCGCGGCGCAUUAGCUAGUUGGUGGGGUAACGGCCUACCAAGGCGACGAUGCGUAGCCGACCUGAGAGGGUGAUCGGCCACAUUGGGACUGAGACACGGCCCAGACUCCUACGGGAGGCAGCAGUGGGGAAUAUUGCACAAUGGGGGAAACCCUGAUGCAGCAACGCCGCGUGAGUGAUGAAGGUUUUCGGAUCGUAAAGCUCUGUUGUUGGUGAAGA